rnacentral:rRNA from 1 species
UACGUAGGGGGCUAGCGUUGUCCGGAAUCAUUGGGCGUAAAGCGCGUGUAGGCGGCCCGGUAAGUCCGCUGUGAAAGUCGGGGGCUCAACCCUCGGAAGCCGGUGGAUACUGUCGGGCUCGAGUACGGAAGAGGCGAGUGGAAUUCCUGGUGUAGCGGUGAAAUGCGCAGAUAUCAGGAGGAACACCGAUUGCGAAGGCAGCUCGCUGGGACGUAACUGACGCUGAGGCGCGAAAGCGUGGGGAGCGAUCCGG